rnacentral:rRNA from 1 species
UGAACGCUGGCGGUAUGCUUAACACAUGCAAGUCGAACGGAAACGAUACUAGCUUGCUAGUAGGCGUCGAGUGGCGGACGGGUGGGUAACGCGUAGGAAUCUGCCUGAUAGUGGGGGAUAGCCCGAAGAAAUUCGGAUUAAUACCGCAUAAUCUAUUCGUAGUAAAGUGGGGGACUUUCGAGCCUCACGCUAUCAGAUGAGCCUGCGUAAGAUUAGCUUGUUGGUAGGGUAAAAGCCUACCAAGGCGACGAUCUUUAGCUGGUCUGAGAGGAUGAUCAGCCACAUCGGGACUGAGACACGGCCCGAACUCCUACGGGAGGCAGCAGUGGGGAAUAUUGGACAAUGGGGGCAACCCUGAUCCAGCAAUACCGCGUGUGUGAAGAAGGCCUGAGGGUUGUAAAGCACUUUCAAUUGUGAAGAAAAGUUAGCGGUUAAUAACCGUUAGCCUUGACGUUAACUUUAGAAGAAGCACCGGCUAACUCCGUGCCAGCAGCCGCGGUAAUACGGAGGGUGCAAGCGUUAAUCGGAAUUACUGGGCGUAAAGCGUGCGUAGGCGGUUUAUUAAGUCAGAUGUGAAAGCCCCGGGCUUAACCUGGGAACUGCAUUUGAAACUGGUCAACUAGAGUAUGGUAGAGGAAAGUGGAAUUUCUGGUGUAGCGGUGAAAUGCGUAGAUAUCAGAAGGAACAUCAAUGGCGAAGGCAGCUUUCUGGACCAAUACUGACGCUGAGGUACGAAAGCGUGGGUAGCAAACAGGAUUAGAUACCCUGGUAGUCCACGCCGUAAACGAUGAUAACUAGCCGUUGGGGGGAUUUACCCUUUAGUGGCGAAGCUAACGCGUUAAGUUGUCCGCCUGGGGAGUACGGCCGCAAGGUUAAAACUCAAAGGAAUUGACGGGGACCCGCACAAGCGGUGGAGCAUGUGGUUUAAUUCGAUGCAACGCGAAGAACCUUACCUGGUCUUGACAUACACGGAACUUUCCAGAGAUGGAUUGGUGCCUUCGGGAACCGUGAUACAGGUGCUGCAUGGCUGUCGUCAGCUCGUGUCGUGAGAUGUUGGGUUAAGUCCCGUAACGAGCGCAACCCUUAUCCUUAUUUGCCAGCACAUCAUGGUGGGAACUAUAAGGAGACUGCCGGUGAUAAACCGGAGGAAGGCGGGGACGACGUCAAGUCAUCAUGGCCCUUACGACCAGGGCUACACACGUGCUACAAUGGGAAGGACAAAGGGUUGCUAAGCCGCGAGGUGGUGCUAAUCUCAUAAACCUUUUCGUAGUCCGGAUCGGAGUCUGCAACUCGACUCCGUGAAGUCGGAAUCGCUAGUAAUCGUGGAUCAGAACGCCACGGUGAAUACGUUCCCGGGUCUUGUACACACCGCCCGUCA